rnacentral:rRNA from 1 species
AUUAACGCGGGCGGCAUGCGUAACACAUGCAAGUCGUACGAGAAAGCCCCUUUCGGGGGGCGAGUAAAGUGGCGCACGGGUGAGUAACGCGUGGGUAAUCUACCCCGGUCUGGGGGAUAACGCACCGAAGGGUACGCUAAUACCGCAUGACCCGGCAGGUUUUCGGAACUGUCGGAAAAGGUGGCCUCUACAUGUAAGCUACCGAACCGGGAUGAGCCCGCGUCCUAUUAGCUUGUUGGUGGGGUAGAGGCCUACCAAGGCGACGAUGGGUAGCUGGUCUGAGAGGACGGCCAGCCACACUGGAACUGGUACACGGUCCAGACUCCUACGGGAGGCAGCAGUGAGGAAUAUUGCGCAAUGGGGGAAACCCUGACGCAGCGAUGCCGCGUGGGUAAAGAAGGCCUUCGGGUCGUAAAGCCCUGUCAAACGGGAAGAAUAGCUCCGGGGCUAAUAUCCUCGGGGUGUGACGGUACCGUUGAAGGAAGCACCGGCUAACUCCGUGCCAGCAGCCGCGGUAAGACGGAGGGUGCGAGCGUUAUUAGGAUUUAUUGGGCGUAAAGGGUGUGCAGGCGGUCAUCCAAGUGUGAUGUGAAAGCCCGGGGAUUAACCUCGGAAGGGCGUUGGAAACUGGUUGACUUGAGUUCGGGAGAGGAAAGCGGAAUUCCGGGUGUAGAGGUGAAAUUCGUAGAUAUCCGGAGGAACACCGGUGGCGAAGGCGGCUUUCUGGACCGAAACUGACGCUGAGACACGAAAGCGUGGGGAGCAAACAGGAUUAGAUACCCUGGUAGUCCACGCCGUAAACGAUGGGCACUAGGUGUGGGGGGUUUUUAAUCCCUCCGUGCCGCAGCUAACGCAUUAAGUGCCCCGCCUGGGGA